UACGAAGGGGGCUAGCGUUGCUCGGAAUCACUGGGCGUAAAGGGUGCGUAGGCGGGUCUUUAAGUCAGGGGUGAAAUCCUGGAGCUCAACUCCAGAACUGCCUUUGAUACUGAAGAUCUUGAGUUCGGGAGAGGUGAGUGGAACUGCGAGUGUAGAGGUGAAAUUCGUAGAUAUUCGCAAGAACACCGGUGGCGAAGGCGGCUACACUGGCCCGAUACUGACGCUGAGGCACGAAAGCGUGGGGAGCAAACAGGG
rnacentral:rRNA from 1 species